UACAGAGGGUGCAAGCGUUGUUCGGAAUUACUGGGCGUAAAGCGCACGUAGGCGGCUUUCUAAGUCGGGGGUGAAAUCCUGGAGCUCAACUCCAGAACUGCCUUCGAUACUGGAGAGCUUGAGUCCGGGAGAGGUGAGUGGAACUGCGAGUGUAGAGGUGAAAUUCGUAGAUAUUCGCAAGAACACCAGUGGCGAAGGCGGCUUACUGGUCCAUAACUGACGCUGAGGUGCGAAAGCGUGGGGAGCAAACAGG
rnacentral:rRNA from 1 species